UUUAUUUACUUUUAGAUAAUUUAAAAGGGUCAUUUGUGGCUUGUGGCUACCAUAUUAGUACAGUCAGAGGGAUGUAAUUUCUAAAUUUCCUUCUGUCUUGCCAUCUUCUUAGAAACAUCAGCUCAUGUCCUCUACACAGGGUAUCAUAUCUUCCUGGUUAAAAACUUGCUUUGAGAAAAAUUCCUGGAGGUCCCCCCCCCCCCCCCCGCACGGUAUUUUGGGGAGAUGGAGCUGAACACCAGCAUCACUAUUUCUUUUCUUUUACAAAGAACGUAAGCUGACAUUCCCCUCCGUGGGCACCCAUUCCUCUCCCACCACCUAUCACAUUGGUGAGGGCAUUGAAACCAGCUUUUAGUUUUAUUGGAGACAAUAAGCUGUUAGCAACAAAGUGCCUAUUUAUACCUACUCCGUGGCGAGUUGUGUUGAUUUAUGUGUUGUUAACGACAACUAGACAUCAUACCACUCGUUAAAGAAUUAAUACUGUGGAUGGGGGAAUAAAGUAUUUCCCAAAGUAUGUUCCAAGCAACCUCAGAUGGAUGAUGUGCGCUCUACGAAGGCACGGUGGCCACAUUCAUUUUGGGAAGUCUGUGUUUGGUCUUACUCUUGCAGGUAUGCAAUCUAUUUUAAUAGGUCUCAUCUUUAAUUGUGUAAUAGCCAGUUCUUUUAGCUACAAAAGCAAGUUUACUUGGGAACAGCCAGAGGAAUUGCCAUUUCGGCUAUAUAAAAAUGGCAGAUUGUAGGCAAAUCCAGAGAACAAAGAAGGGGAAUUUGCUUUUAUAAGGAAAUAGGGUGAAGGAUGUUGAGAAAGGGCUAUAAAAACCACAGAGUCCAUUGGAGGAGAUUAGGAGCCCAGUGUAUGGAGGCUUCUCAUUGGUGGAGUUGCCCCAGUCUCUGAUUGGCUGGGCUGUCAGGCCAAGAGCCGUCUUCCUCUUCCUGCUGGAUCGCAGAACAGGUGACAGCUCCCUGUGGGAGAUGCAGGUACUGUCUCGUCCUGCGUGGAGUCAUUGGCUGUGCAUGGCAGGGACACGGGACCUCCACCUUCGGGCCUGUCUUGACUCCAGUUUUACCGGAAGUUUCAUUAAUUCUACACACGCUUCUAACCCUCGUGACACCUGGACACGCUCUCACUAACUUCACAAGCCACAGGCUUGUUCAUUCAGCAUGGAGAAGGGUUUCUGUAUCAAGACUCUCCCUUUGACUUCCAGUUCAAGAUGAUGGAAUAGAAGAAUGUGUGCUUACCUCUUUGAGAAAACCAAAAUUGCAACUAGCUACUGAACAACCAUCGACAGGAGGACACUGGAACCCACCAAAAGAGGUACCUCACGUCCAAAGACAAAGAAGAAGUCCUAACAAGACACAGGCAAGAUCUUAGUUCCCCAACCAGGGAUUGAACUCCCACCACCUGCACUGGAAGCUUGGAGUCUCAACCACUGGACAGCCGUGAAAGUCCCUCAGAUUUCUUUUUGAAUCGUAGUUUUCAGUGUUAUAAAGCCUCUUGAGACAGUCUGUCCUCAAGGGACCAAAAUGAAAAAAAAAAAAAAAAAAAAAAAGAGUCUGCUGCUGAGGAAAGGAACUGUGGAUGGUGAUCAAGAAGAAAUUCCUCUUCUGGUUAGUUUUAUUUCUCUUGUGACGUCUAAGUAGUAUGAAGUAGGCUGGUAAUUCAAUCCUAGAAGGAAAUUGGAAUAUUCAAGAAACAAUUUGUUGUCGCAGUCCCAUCAAACUUGGCUCUUCCAGUGGCAGUGAGAAGCUCCAUCCUGGAUACUGCUUUAAGUGUACUGCUUGCUGAAGCUGAAGCUCCAGGACCUUGGCCACCUGAUGCAAAGAGCCCAUUUAUUGGCAGAGACCCUGAUGCUGGGAAAGAUUGAGGGCAGGAGGAGAAGGGUGCAACAGAGGAUGAGAUGGUUGGAUGGCAUCACCGAUUCGAUGGACGUAAGUCUGAGCAAACUGAGCGAUAGUGAAGUCUUGCAUGCUUGGAGAUGGGGAAGCCUGGCGUGCUGCAGUUAGUGAGGUCCCAAAGAGUUGGACAUGACUGAGCCACUGAACAACAGCAGCUUAGACUGUUUCAUUUUCCUUGCCCAUCCCCCACCUUUUCCCUCCACCCAACCCUGGUGCAGAGUAGGUGCUUUUACCCAGGAAUGUGGAGAUGCUACACAGAGAAGCAUAAAGAGACCUAGACAAGUAGUCAGGGCAUUUGACCAAGCUCAUCCAGCUAACAAGAGGCAGGGGUAGGAUUUUAACCCAGAGCAUCUGUUUUCAGCCUGUUCACUGCCCUGUUUCACCAGCUGCCUGCUCCACUGCUAAGAAGUUGAAAGCCCAGGAAAAGCUUGUUGCUUUUCAUCACCAAUCCCGC